rfam:Plasmodiophora brassicae isolate e3 genome assembly, contig: scaffold_12
UUCGGUAUCGCAUAGGUGGUCAGUGUACCCGGCUCUCACCCGGGAGACCUGGGUUCAAGUCCCAGUACCGAAG